rnacentral:lncRNA from 10 species
AAAAAAAGCAGAAUUUUCCUAAUCCAUGAAAACUCAGAGGUUUUCCAUUUCGGGGUGUAAAAAGGCUUCCUGCCAGUGGCAAGGAGCUACUUUAUCACUGGCUGCCACUCAUCUUUGAGAAGGACAGCCCAAAAGAGCUGGCUUAGGCUUGCCAGAAACUCUCCCAGGCCACAUGGAAAGCCAGGUGACCCUGUAGUACCUGCCCAGUGUGACUCAAGCCCCGAGUAGAAGAAAAGCAAGUUCCAACCUGCAGGCCAAGCCUGGCAUGCAGUGGGGCUGUGCGCAGACUGCCAUCCUUGGCACCAAUGGUGCCAAAUUUCUUGCCAAAUGGGCUUGAGUUUCAACAUGUUGGGAGAGCACAGGAGCCUGUGAGCAUAACUUUGCUGUCAACCCUGAAGCAGGGCCAAAGAAGAUCCUAGAGAGUCCAGCAGUACAGCAGAUGGAAGGGACAGGCAUGGAUGUUGGGCUCCUGGGGAUUCAGCCCUCUUUGGGCAAAGCAGAACACCAUCUAACACCAGAGGACUAGACUGCGGCCGGAGCAUUGCCCGAGCCAUCCCAGGGGAUGGAGGGCCCCUGGGAAAUCCUUCAAAGGCAAGUGCAGCUGUUGCCAGCUCUGGGUUCUGUGGGGCCCAUAGGAUGACGUGGCCUGAGGCUUCAUCACUGGAGCCUGGGGCUUCAGCUUUCCAGUGAAGAGAGAUCAAGUCUCCUGCUGCAGUUCCAUUCCAUCGAUUUGUCUUAGCUCAGCCACUGGGCACCACAGAUCAUGUCUGUUUCCUUUGUCCUGUGACACCCCUCAAAGACUUGGAGGUGACCCGGAUCCAUUGAGCUCCAGGUUUGUGCCUCAGAUCCCUCAGCCAUUAUGUCCUUCCAGAAUUGGAUCCUCUUCCAUCCUGUUCACCCAUUCCUGAUGUGUUAUGGUUUACCAUAGUCUCUCUCUCUGAGUGAAGCACAGCACUCCAGAGCUGUGUGAUGAAUGCAUCUCUUUAAUGCUUAUUGCAGGACUAGGAGCUGCUUGUACACCAGCCUGAGUCACAUGACCUUGUGACCCAAGGUCCAUCUACCAGUGACCCUCUGCUCCCACCUCAGGAUGUAGGCACCCCCUGAUUCCUCUGUGUAUAUGGGGGAGGGGUAGGACAGGCAGGGCCCAGUGAAAAUGGUUUCAACCCUGUGUGAGUGAAAGCCUGGGCAUAUAGGAGGUGUUCUAAAAAUUAACAGCCCCCAGUGACUUGGCUGGCAAAUAGCUUUCAUUCCCUUGCUCCUCCAAGUGUGGUUCAUGGACCAGUAGUAUCAGCAUCUUCUGGGGGUUUAUUAGAAGUGCAGUAUCUGAGGCCCCAUUCCA